UUAAAAUGCCGGUUCUCGUACGAUCACUGAAGUUAAGCAACGUCGAACCUGCUCAGUAUCAAGAUGGGUGACCACUUGGAAAAACCAGGUAUUGUAA